UACAGAGAGAAGCCAGGUGGCGGACACCGAGCGGAACUCAAAGCCUGUCUCAGUUCGGAUCGGAGUCUGCAACCCGACUCCGUGAAGCUGGAUUCGCUAGUAAUCGCGCAUCAGCCAUGGCGCGGUGAAUACGUUCCCGGGCCUUGUACACACCGCCCGUCAAGCCAUGGAAGCCGGGAGUGCCUGAAGUAUGCAACCGCAAGGAGCGUCCUAAGGUAAAACCGGUGACUGGGCUAAGUCGUAACAAGGUAUC
rnacentral:rRNA from 1 species